AGCCCUGAUCUCGGUAAGUUGCUGUCUCCUGGGUACAUUCAACACCUGGCUGAAUACGCUGACUUCUCAUACUUAUACACAAUAUCAACUCAGGUUACAGACCACGUAGCUAGGACCCCUAGACAUAAUGAGUCAGGUUACAGACCACGUAGCUAGGACCCCUAGACAUAAUGAGUCAGGUUACAGACCACGUAGCUAGGACCCCUAGACAUAAUGAGUCAGGUUACAGACCACGUAGCUAGGACCCCUAGGCAUAAUGAGUCAGGUUACAGACCACGUAGCUAGGACCCCUAGGCAUAAUGAGUCAGGUUACAGACCACGUAGCUAGGACCCCUAGGCAUAAUGAGUCAGGUUACAGACCACGUAGCUAGGACCCCUAGGCAUAAUGAGUCAGGUUACAGACCACGUAGCUAGGACCCCUAGGCAUAAUGAGUCAGGUUACAGACCACGUAGCUAGGACCCCUAGACAUAAUGAGUCAGGUUACAGACCACGUAGCUAGGACCCCUAGACAUAAUGAGUCAGGUUACAGACUGAGGUCAGGGCUCUUUGAAGGCCAGUCAAGUUCUUCCACACCGAUCUCAACAAACCAUUGCUGUAUGGACCUGGCUUUGUGCACGAGGGCAUUUUCAUGCUGAAUCGGGAAGGGCCUUCCCCAAACUGUUGACA